rnacentral:rRNA from 1 species
CAGCAGCCGCGGGAAUACGAAGGGUGCAAGCGUUAAUCGGAAUUACUGGGCGUAAAGGGUGCGUAGGCGGUUGUUUAAGUCUGUUGUGAAAUCCCUGGGCUUAACCUGGGAACUGCAUUUGAAACUGGCAGGCUAGAGUCUUGUAGAGGGGGGUAGAAUUCCAGGUGUAGCGGUGAAAUGCGUAGAGAUCUGGAGGAAUACCGGUGGCGAAGGCGACUAUCUGGGCCAACACUGACACUGAGGCACGAAAGCGUGGGGAGCAAACAGGAUUAGAUACCCGCGUAGUCCCUGUCUCUUAUAC